AGAGUUUGAUCCUGGCUCAGAACGAACGCUGGCGGCAGGCUUAACACAUGCAAGUCGAGCGCGUAGCAAUACGAGCGGCAGACGGGUGAGUAACGCGUGGGAAUCUACCCAACCCUACGGAAUAACGCAUGGAAACGUGUGCUAAUACCGUAUACGCCCUUCGGGGGAAAGAUUUAUCGGGGAUGGAUGAGCCCGCGUUGGAUUAGCUAGUUGGUGGGGUAAAGGCCUACCAAGGCGACGAUCCAUAGCUGGUCUGAGAGGAUGAUCAGCCACAUUGGGACUGAGACACGGCCCAAACUCCUACGGGAGGCAGCAGUGGGGAAUAUUGGACAAUGGGCGCAAGCCUGAUCCAGCCAUGCC
rnacentral:rRNA from 1 species